rnacentral:rRNA from 1 species
AGUGAACGCUGGCGGUAGGCCUAACACAUGCAAGUCGAACGGCAGCACAGUACGAGCUUGCUCUUACGGGUGGCGAGUGGCGGACGGGUGAGGAAUAUAACGGAAUCUACUUUUUCGUGGGGGAUAACGUAGGGAAACUUAAGCUAAUACCGCAUCCGCCCUACGGGGGAAAGCAGGGGAUAUUCUCACCUUGCGCGGUUGAACGAGCCGAGGUGGGAUUAGUUGGUUGGCGGGGUAAAGGCCCACCCAGGCGGCGAUUCGUAGCCGGACUGAGUGGAUGGUAGCCCGCCCGGGAAGGGGAACAGGGUCCAGGCUACUGAGGGAGGGCGCAGAGGGGUAUGGUAGGCAAUAGGCGCAAGUCUGAUCCAGCCAUACCGCGUGGGUGAAGGAGGCCUUGGGGUUGUGAAGCCGUUUUGUUGGGAAAGAAAAGCAGCAGGUUGAGACCCCGCUGUUCUGACGGUACCCAAAGAAGAAGCACCGGCUAACUUCGUG